rnacentral:rRNA from 1 species
UACAUGGGGUGCAACCGUUGCUCGGAAUUAUUGGGCGUAAAGGGCGCGUAGGCGGCUUGGCAAGUGGAUGGUGAAAUCCCUCGGCUUAACCGAGGAACUGCCAUCCAGACUGCUUUGCUUGAGGCCGGGAGAGGUGAGUGGAAUUCCCAGUGUAGCGGUGAAAUGCGUAGAUAUUGGGAGGAACACCAGUGGCGAAGGCGGCUCACUGGACCGGUUCUGACGCUGAUGCGCGAAAGCGUGGGGAGCAAACGGG